UACGGAGGGGGCUAGCGUUGUUCGGAAUUACUGGGCGUAAAGCGCACGUAGGCGGCUUUGCAAGUUAGAGGUGAAAGCCCGGGGCUCAACCCCGGAAUUGCCUUUAAAACUGCAUCGCUAGAAUUGUGGAGAGGUAAGUGGAAAUUCCGAGUGUAGAGGUGAAAUUCGUAGAUAUUCGGAAGAACACCAGUGGCGAAGGCGACUCACUGGACAUGUAUUGACGCUGAGGUGCGAAAGCGUGGGGAGCAAACGGG
rnacentral:rRNA from 1 species